ACGGAGGGUGCAAGCGUUAUCCGGAAUCAUUGGGUUUAAAGGGUCCGCAGGCGGGCAUAUAAGUCAGUGGUGAAAGCCUACAGCUUAACUGUAGAACUGCCAUUGAUACUGUAAGUCUUGAAUUCGGUCGGAGUGGGCGGAAUGUGUAGUGUAGCGGUGAAAUGCAUAGAUAUUACACAGAACACCGAUAGCGAAGGCAGCUCACUAGGCCUGAAUUGACGCUCAGGGACGAAAGCGUGGGGAUCAAACAGGAUUAGAUACCCUGGUAGUCCACGCUGUAAACGAUGAUUACUCGUUUUCGGCGAUAUACAGUCGGAGACUAAGCGAAAGUGAUAAGUAAUCCACCUGGGGAGUACGAUCGCAAGGUUG
rnacentral:rRNA from 1 species